rnacentral:rRNA from 1 species
CGACGAGUUUGAUCCUGGCUCAGAUUGAACGCUGGCGGCAGGCCUAACACAUGCAAGUCGAGCGUGAGUAGCUUGCUACGAUGCAGCGGCGGACGGGUGAGUAAUACAUGGGAAUCUGCCUGGUAGUGGGGGACAACGUUUCGAAAGGAACGCUAAUACCGCAUACGCCCUACGGGGAAAGGGGGGAUCUUCGGACCUCUCGCUAUCAGAUGAGCCCAUGUCGGAUUAGCUUGUU